rnacentral:rRNA from 1 species
UACGUAGGGAGCGAGCGUUGUCCGGAAUUACUGGGCGUAAAGCGCUUGUAGGCGGCACGUCAAGUCGCGUGUGAAAUCCCCAGGCUUAACCUGGGAAGUGCGCGCGAAACUGACGAGCUUGAGUGCCGGAGAGGGUCGCGGAAUUCCCGGUGUAGAGGUGAAAUUCGUAGAUAUCGGGAGGAACACCAGUGGCGAAGGCGGCGACCUGGACGGACACUGACGCUGAGACGCGAAAGCGUGGGGAGCAAACAGG